rnacentral:rRNA from 3 species
UGCAGUCGAGCGGAUGAAGGGAGCUUGCUCCUGGAUUCAGCGGCGGACGGGUGAGUAAUGCCUAGGAAUCUGCCUGGUAGUGGGGGAUAACGUCCGGAAACGGGCGCUAAUACCGCAUACGUCCUGAGGGAGAAAGUGGGGGAUCUUCGGACCUCACGCUAUCAGAUGAGCCUAGGUCGGAUUAGCUAGUUGGUGGGGUAAAGGCCUACCAAGGCGACGAUCCGUAACUGGUCUGAGAGGAUGAUCAGUCACACUGGAACUGAGACACGGUCCAGACUCCUACGGGAGGCAGCAGUGGGGAAUAUUGGACAAUGGGCGAAAGCCUGAUCCAGCCAUGCCGCGUGUGUGAAGAAGGUCUUCGGAUUGUAAAGCACUUUAAGUUGGGAGGAAGGGCAGUAAGUUAAUACCUUGCUGUUUUGACGUUACCAACAGAAUAAGCACCGGCUAACUUCGUGCCAGCA